GGUUGCGAUCAUACCAGCACUAAUGCACCUGAUCCCAUUAGAACUCCGUAGUUAAGCGUGCUUGGGCGAGAGUAGUACUAGGAUGGGUGACCCCAUGGGAAGUUCUCGUGUUACAACCCCUUUUUUUCGUUUUUUGGUUUAUUUUAUUUACUAGUCGCUGUAUCUUUGGCGUAGCAUGCGAGCGGCCGAUUUUGUGAAAGAAAGGCUUUGACGAAGGCGCGCGCGCGCACAUGAAGGCAUAGGUACGAAUGGGAUCAAGGCGUGGAAAGGUAUAAAGGAAUAAGGAGAAGGAAUUCUUUCGGUUGCGAUCAUAACAACACUAAUACACCGGAUCCCAUCAGAACUCCGCAGUUAAGCAUUCUUGGGCGAUUGUAGUACUAGGAUGGGUGACCCCCUGGGAAGUUCUCGUGUUGCAACCUCG
rnacentral:lncRNA from 1 species